UACAGAGGUCUCAAGCGUUGUUCGGAUUCAUUGGGCGUAAAGGGUGCGUAGGCGGCGUGGUAAGUCGGGGGUGAAAUCUCGGAGCUUAACUCCGAAACUGCAUUCGAUACUGCCGUGCUUGAGGACUGGAGAGGAGACUGGAAUUUACGGUGUAGCGGUGAAAUGCGUAGAUAUCGUAAGGAAGACCAGUGGCGAAGGCGGGUCUCUGGACAGUACCUGACGCUGAGGCACGAAGGCGAGGGGAGCAAACGGG
rnacentral:rRNA from 1 species